rnacentral:rRNA from 1 species
GAUGAACGCUAGCGGCAGGCCUAAUACAGGCAAGUCGAGGGGUAACAGAAAGUGCUUGCACUUUGCUGACGACCGGCGGACGGGUGAGUAACGCGUAUAUAAUCUGCCUCAUACUAGAGGAUAGCCCGAAGAAAUUUGGAUUAAUACUCUAUAGUAUCAUUUAAAGACAUCUUUAUAUGAUUAAAGGUUACGGUAUGAGAUGAGUAUGCGUUCUAUUAGCUUGUAGGUGUGGUAACGGCACACCUAGGCUGCGAUAGAUAGGGGCCCUGAGAGGGGGAUCCCCCACACUGGUACUGAGAUACGGACCAGACUCCUACGGGAGGCAGCAGUAAGGAAUAUUGGUCAAUGGACGAAAGUCUGAACCAGCCAUGCCGCGUGCAGGAUGAAUGCCCUAUGGGUUGUAAACUGCUUUUAUACAGGAAGAAAAACUUUCUCGUGAGAAAGCUUGACGGUACUGUAAGAAUAAGGAUCGGCUAACUCCGUG